ACAGCAGCUCCCGGCACAGCAUCACGCCGCAGCUCACACAGGCGUCUACCAGACUACCACACCCGCAGCGAACUGCUGGAAGGCACGCGUGAAUAAAAAUAGAUGCUAAGCCUGCAAAACAUUACCUGAGGAUUAUGAAGCCACGUGAGCAUCCUCGCUACUCACUGCAGGCUUUGACUUGGUGCUGCUCUUCCCUCUGCUGCCUGGCUUGUCCUUCUUUGAUGGGCCAGUAAAUAAUCCUCCAAUCUUACUUACAUCUGUGGUGGCAAACUGAAGAGCAUUGAUGGCACUGCGAAUGUCUCCCCCUGAGGCGUCUGUCAGACUCUGCAGCACCUCCUUGGAGGGCAGUGGAAGCCUCAACCCACCUUCACCGGCACUCUCUAUGCUCAGGAUGCGAUUCAGAGCCUUUACUAACAGCCCACUUGCAAUGGGAUUGAAUCUAUGUAAACAUUAAUGGGAAUUAGUAAUACUAUUACACACACACAUUAUUAUUAUCACUUCACAGUGACUUAUCAGUUAUGGAGUGACUGUCAGUGUCAUCAGUGCUUUGUGAUCUACUCCAGCAUAGCUGUCAUCACGUCUCACCCAAUGCUGACAAUGGAGAGUUCCUGCACCAAGUCAGGAGGAAAGAGUCGCUUCACAUUCCCAUACUGGUUGGUGGAGUCUGUCACAAUGAACACCACUGGGCUGCUGUUGCUCCACUGACUGUAUUUCCUGCACAUAUAUGACAAUGAAUGUAGACUGUAAUUGCUGAAGUCAUUUCCCAUAAAUUUGAUAUAUGAUAGAAAAUCACAAACGCUAACUAAUCACUUAAGAAAAAUAAGCACGAAAUAAGAUUGCUAUAACCACAACACAUUUUAAAGCAAGUCAUACUGCAUACACUGUCCUCAACCAAAACACCACAAGGGAGCUACUGCCUGCAUGCCACUGGAGAAUGAUCAAGCACCUGGGAAAUACCAAGAGUCUCCUGUUGUGUGUAAUUCUUUGAAAUAUCACAAGUGAGGGACAAGUAUCUUUAAAUACUUCAGUCAAGGCUACCAAAUCCUGUCAACUACAAUAUAUUCCAUAGCUUUAAUUAUCCAUAUAACUUACUUGCCAACACCAAGUCAGACAAGCCUGUAAUGCAAAGCAGGAUCCUCAAACCUAAUGUCACUCAGGCAAAAAUAUAAAGUGAAACAAACUGGAAUCAUUGACAAGUCUUCAAAUUCCACUUCAUGGAAGCAGUCAAUAAUUGGAGCUAUUUAUGUCAUGAUUACUACAGUAUAGUAAAAGUGCCAAAAAUAACACAUCUGGGUUUUAACUUUCUUUGCACUUACCUGAGCAUGGUAUGAAAAGAUGCUGGGUCUCUGAGAAUAGCAUUGGGGAAAUCCUCCACACACACCAGGUUCUCUCUCUUGUCUGUUGUGCACACACUGUUGUACUUGCUGCACCGCAUCAAGAACUCCCAGAACUGUGUGGUCUGGCUGACUGGGACCACCGUGUCAUCAGGUCUCCACACAUUUUCUGUUGGGAUGUCAGAGUGUAUUAUAGGAGAUCAGACAACAUUAAGUGUGAAUUUUGACUAUUUAGCAUUAUUAAACUCGAUCAGCGUAAUUAUUGUGCAUUGGUACAAAGAUCGAUCUUCACUAGUAACUUUUAUAUCUAAGUAGAGGGAUAAAUUAAGCAAAACAUUGCUAACAUUAUGCUUUAAUUAUCCUCAGUAUUUGUCUUCCCUAAAAUGCCAGUGGUAAAACUUAUCAAUGAUUGGUCUAACCUUGUUCCAUAAAAUUAUUAUUAUAAGGUGUUGUGGUGGGGUUGGUCCACUCCACUAGAUUGAGUUUUGCUUCCCGGGCAAGGACCCUGACAGUGGCAGAUUUCCCACAUCCUGCAGGCCCAGUUAGCAGCAGCAGCUUUCUCCCCUGCAAAAGGUGACUGCAUUGAGGCCAUGUGCUCUACUUGUCCUUACUUGUCUCAUGUUAUCUUUAAUUCUACGUUUAAUGUAAUAAUCUUAUAUAAUAAAACAUAUUGUCUGUC
rnacentral:lncRNA from 1 species